UGGGGUGUAGCCAAGUGGUAAGGCGUCGGGUUUUGGUCCCGUGCACCGUAGGUUCGAAUCCUGCCAUCCCAG
rnacentral:tRNA from 1 species